rnacentral:rRNA from 2 species
UACGUAGGGGGCAAGCGUUGUCCGGAAUUACUGGGCGUAAAGGGUGCGUAGGCGGUUGCCUAAGUCAGAUGUGAAAUCCCCGGGCUUAACUCGGGUGGUGCAUUUGAAACUGGGCGGCUAGAGUGCAGGAGAGGGAAGCGGAAUUCCUAGUGUAGCGGUGAAAUGCGUAGAUAUUAGGAGGAACACCAGUGGCGAAGGCGGCUUUCUGGACUGUAACUGACGCUGAGGCACGAAAGCGUGGGGAGCAAACAGG